rnacentral:lncRNA from 1 species
GCCGCACCUCGCCGCGGCCCCGCCCCCGCCGCCGCGGCGGCGGCGCCCCGCGAUCCCUGCGGCCCCGGCACCGUCAUCGAUCUCUAUCUCUCUCUCCCUCACUAGAGAUAGAGGAGGAGAGUGAGGAGCGAGAAAGGUGGUGGAAUUGCGUCGCCACCCUCUAAGAUGCUGUUUUAGAGAGAGAAGGGGUGGUGGGUGUGUGAAAUGGAGGAGGUGUCCUUUUUGGGACAAUUAAAACUUUUAAAAGAAAAAUUAGUCGUGACAAGAGAGCUCUCGACAACAACUACUGCAAAGCGUUUCUGGGACCGAGAACAACCGUGAUGUUUACGCAUACUAGAUUCUUUAGCACAAUAAACAUAAUUGCUUAUCUGGGUAGUUAUUAUGAUAAGAAUUUGUAUAGAAUUAAGUAGGAUAAUUAAAAAAUUUAAACUAGAAAGCCUGAGAAAGAAAAAUUGGAGUUCUAGUGCAGGGAAGAAGAGUGAGAGCCUACGGCUCUGAAAGAAUGGAGUUUUUUUUGGUGGAUUUGGUUCACCACCUCAUUCGUAGGCCGCUGGAGAAUUAUAAUUAGCCUAGUUGAAAGUGCAGGUCCUUUACAAAACAAUAUAUAUGCGUUGUAUUUACAAAUUUUAUCCAUUUAGAUAUCAAAUGGUAGAUUAUACCUAAUGUGUAUAAUUAAAAAAAAUUAUUUUAUCAAAAUGCUGGUAAGUUUAUUUCUUAUUUAAAUUAUUUUAGUUGAAACUAUAGUUAAUUUAAAUAUAAUUCUAAUCGAGCUUUUUCGAGUAUAUUCAAUUAUAUAAAUUUAGACGCGCCACCGUGAUCACACCAAUCAUAACUUAUUUGUAGUAUGCACAAUUAAAUAGUUUUUUAUACCAUUUACUAUUAUUGUUGGCUGUGAAAUAGAGAGCAGCUAGCUAGUAUUCCAUAGUAUUAUUUUUAUAUAUUUUGAUAUAUUUGCAAAUAUAUUUAACUUUUUAGUUGCACCUUACCAUAUUAUAGAUGCCCAUGCAUUAAUAAUAUAAUAGAAAAACUACAGUAGAAAAUUCAAAACAUUUCACGUGGACAGGAUACAAAUUGUUAGAUCAAAUGUGGAAAAGAUCUAAUUUGUCGCAUACAAAAAUACCAAAAGAGAAUCGAAAAAAAAAAAUAAAGCAUACAAAUAUUUAUGUGGUUCGGUCACUAUUCUAUAUCCACGGGUGAAGACGUAGCGGAAAUUUUCAUUAUAAUUAAAAUGGCAUAUAAAAUGUAUUUCCCUCACAAAACUCUAGACUCCCAUACUUACUCUUAUCUACCACACCAAAUUAGUAAAGGUAUAUUUAUAAUAAUAGCUAAAUCCUAAUACAACUAUAAAUACAAACCCACUAAAAUUAAAAAUAAUUUUAAUAAAAUUAAACAUAAUUUAAAUUUAAUUUAAUAAAAUAAUUAAAAUAAAUAGGAUUAGAAAAUCUUGUAAUUUCAGAAUUCAAGAUAUAUCUAACACCGAGAUUGCGGAGUGGUUCAGGCAAAAUUUCUCACCAUGCGGCGCGCAUCGCGAGGCGCAACAGUAGCUACCGCGCUGCAACCGUAGGAUGGGACGCGGUGAAGAUAACCUUACAAUUACCAUCCGUGACUCCGAGUCCACCGGGACACGAAUAAAAUAGAAAAAAAAUAGUGUGCUAUUGGGCAAGGGAGAAAUUUUUUGGCUGCACCCGGUGCAUGAACGCAUGCCAAAACACUGUACCUAACCAUCCAUUAAACUGUUGUACAAAAAAAGUGUUUUACUUUCAAGGUAUAUCACCUCAAAUUUACGCUUCUUAUAUGUAAACAUUUGCUAAAUUAGGGCUAUCAAAGAGUAGCGUGCACAAGUAAAAAAUUCACCUUAUGUAUGGCUUAUUUAUUAAUGACUCGAAUACAAACUGGUUUACGAAUAAUAAGCUAGAUUGUUAAUUCUACUAUUUGAUAAGAAGUUGAAAAAAAAUUAGAAAAAUUAGAAUCUUAAUGUAAUAAUUGAAAUUCACACAAUAUAGUUCUCUUUAUAUUUUAGCCGGCCUAAAAUUUGUAUANCCGCCCCCGCCCCCGCCGCACCUCGCCGCGGCCCCGCCCCCGCCGCCGCGGCGGCGGCGCCCCGCGAUCCCUGCGGCCCCGGCACCGUCAUCGAUCUCUAUCUCUCUCUCUCCCUCACUAGAGAUAGAGGAGGAGAGUGAGGAGCGAGAAAGGUGGUGGAAUUGCGUCGCCACCCUCUAAGAUGCUGUUUUAGAGAGAGAAGGGGUGGUGGGUGUGUGAAAUGGAGGAGGUGUCCUUUUGGGACAAUUAAAACUUUUAAAAGAAAAAUUAGUC